rnacentral:lncRNA from 1 species
GGAGCAUAAAACAAUCACUAUUCUUGCCUUAUUAAGGGCUCUGGAUAGGGGGCAGAGGGGGAAGUAUUAUGCACAUUUGAUGUAUCAUUGCAAUUAAUACCUUCCGUUUUGAGCUCAUCUUGCUCAUGGACUGGGUUGGUUCUAAACUGGUAAUUAUAUCUGCCAGGUAGCAGAGCUGAGCAGUUCUGCCACUGCUGACUAACAGACGAAGCACGUGAAGCAAAGCUCAUUGUCAGUAGAACAUCGUGUGUCUGGCAUCUCACCACUGACAUGCUGACACAUCAAAAGCUGUCUGUCUCUGUUCUACCACUAUGUGGACUGCACAAGUGAAAUAUUUUAUUUGAUCUAACAGGUAAUUGUAUGAAUUGACAGGUAAAACCCAUACACCCUCUUAGAAAAUCCUCCUGCUUUGCUUUGAGCACUUUCAAGUCACCGUUUAUUCAGAAAGUAUGAUCUUAACCUCUGUCUUUUGUGUAUUAUCCACAAUCACUUAGCUAUUUGUAUCUGUCAUUAAAAAAGCAUGUCUGCUUGAACUGAUCGUUGCUUUUUCUAUUUGCUUUCUAUUUGUUUACAUAUCUGAAGGCACUGGGGUAUUUGCACUACAAAAAACAGAGCAGAGAUUGGGAACUUACUGGCAAGGAUGGCUGUAAAACCAGCAAGAUGCUAAGAGACCCACAACUAAUUCUGGGUCCUGAAGGAGCAUGGGGUACCAGGCUGCCAUAUUGGGUACCUUCUCAGCAGACGUUGUGACAGGGGAGGAAGCAAGGCAACUAAAGACCAAUAAGUAUUAGACUCCAAUUUUCCCUUCAGUGAUGAACACACCGUCUGCAGUCUCAUUUGUCUCAACUAUAAAGCUAAAGGACCAGAAGCUGCUCUCACUGGCAUCCUGGGUUAACAGCUUUCUUCACUACCCUCCCAUCCACAUACAUGCAUACCCCGUUAUCCUCUGGAGAGGAGAGAGGGAUGACAAGGUCUGA